rnacentral:rRNA from 1 species
AUUGAACGCUGGCGGCAGGCCUUACACAUGCAAGUCGAACGAGUGGCGUAGGGGUGAGUAAUGUAUGGGAACCGGCCCAAUGGAGGGGGAUAACUACUGGAAACAGUAGCUAAUCCCGCAUACUCUCGGCGUGGCCCAUAGGGGAUUAGCUAGUAGGGGGGGUAAAGGCUCACAAAGGCGACGAUCCGUAGCUGGUUUGCGGGGAGGACCACCAAAACGGGGAUGGAGACACGCCCCAGAUUCCUACGGGAGGAAGCAGUGGGGAAUUUGGGACAAUGGGGGAAAUCCUUAUUAAGCCAGCCGGAGGGUAUGAAGAAGGCUUUCGGGUUGUAAAGUACUUUCAGCGUGGAGGCGGUACCCGCAGAAGAAGCACCGGCUAACUACGUGCCAGCAGCCGCGGUAAUAC